UACGUAGGGUCCGAGCGUUGUCCGGAAUUACUGGGCGUAAAGAGCUCGUAGGUGGUUUGUCGCGUUGUUCGUGAAAACUCACAGCUUAACUGUGGGCGUGCGGGCGAUACGGGCAGACUUGAGUACUGCAGGGGAGACUGGAAUUCCUGGUGUAGCGGUGGAAUGCGCAGAUAUCAGGAGGAACACCGGUGGCGAAGGCGGUGGUCUGGGCCGGAACUGACGCUGAGGAGCGAAAGCGUGGGGAGCGAACAGG
rnacentral:rRNA from 1 species